CUGCUUCCUCCUAGAUAGGUGUCCCGUUCUGAAUCUCGAUCCGCCAAGGUGCCACUGAGCAAAGCACCGUCCCCACACACUGCUCCCCGGGCGCCUGUCAUGGCUGCCUACUGCUCACUCAGGGUGAUGGGUUAAAUGCAGAGGACAAAUUUCACUGUGUGCACCGUGUGCUGUGCUGCUGUGUAUCACAAGUGACAAUCCCUUCACUUUAGUGAUUGGAGGAGCACAAGACCGAGUGCAAGGUGCUGAAUGCUACUUAGAGAUGCUGAAGUCCAGAUACAACAGGACAGUGUCCAACAAUGCAUAAUAAUACCAUACCAUCCUGUCGGUUUUAAUGUUUUGGCUGUUGCUGAAGAUAACAGCACCAAUGAGGUGAUGUGGUUUUGUAUAAGUGUCAAAUGUUGAGGAGGUGUGUGUGAGGGGGGGGGUGGGGUGUUGAGCUGCUUUGAAGUAGAGCCGUCCUGCGGAGACGACACGUGCGCGAUGGACAGCUGUCCCCUGCGUGCCUCUCUACCUCCUGUUCUCAGCCCGUCCUUCACCCAGAGCCCCUGGAGCCGUAAUGGCGCAGUGAGGCUCCACCCCCCCCACCCCGCCGCAGAACCCCCGGACUCUCUUCCGAAUCUCCCGCUUUUUAUUUGUGUCCCGCUUCCCCCUGGACCAGGGUCAGGAUGUUAUUGUGCGUGUGCAGGACAACAGAGGCCGGUGACGGACACCGCAUCCUCCGAUCCAGGCGGAGGGAUGAGAGAGGAAUGUGUUCCCACAGUGCAGUAGGGGACAUGGCCAAGGAAUGUGGCCAUUGUCCCCAUGUCUCCACUCAAUGGCCCUGUUUGUUUAUCAUCCGGCAACGUCUAGCGCCUCACAGGUCCUUGGCAGCGGCGCGAUGGGGACUUCAUGUUCCUGGUCAAACCGGCAGACAGAACGAAACCGCAGGCUUCAGGGAGCAAAAAUCUCAUGGCAGAGAUCGUCUCACGGGCCAUAUUUUCCCCCAGCCGCUGCCGAACCGCCACUGCGGUCCCCUUGAUCAAGGUAGCGUCCCCACACCACUGCUGCCCACCACUCGCCAAGGGUGAUGGGUCAUACGCAGGAACGCCUGCUCACUUGGUCAGAUGUAGAUAACGACGACGACGACAGACCUUUCCGCCGUAACGUAGCAUCCAUCUCCCCUCGCCGUGGAAGACAACGAGCAAGGACCCCAGGACAUGCAUUUCAUCGGAACUUAUCAGGCCCGAAUCUCCAGCACGUUCACGAUAUGGACCGGUGGCCUUCUGGAAGAGAUAUCUCCUCGCGGUUCGCAAACCAAGUACUUUGGCCGGAAACGGACCUUUGGUGAAUGCCGAUUAUGUGAGCGAUGUUAUGAGGACAGGUCGUCUAAAAGCAUAUUUUACACGUUUUAAAUACAACAAUCCUACAAUCGCUCCCAUACAAAAUAAAUAUGGUCACUGAUCUGAUCA
rnacentral:lncRNA from 1 species